GGAAGCGUGUGUCUCUGACACAUCUGAACAUCGAUCGCUCUUACCCAGCCGAUCUGCUCUGAUGAUGUCGACCGAACACAGUCGGUGCUCCCGUUGCGCCCUUGGGUCGCACGGUCGAGCUCCGCCCGUUCCAAAUUAGGCUGCUUUCUGCGGCUUCCUGGGUGUACAAUCGGCACUUUCUCCUGUAGGUUACUAAAGUGGGGAGGGUAGCUACGUACAAACCUGCGCUUCCAUGUGCUGGCACUGCUCGAGGCAGUCUGCCAUAUGUUUUC
rnacentral:snRNA from 3 species